UACGUAGGGUGCGAGCGUUGUCCGGAAUUAUUGGGCGUAAAGAGCUCGUAGGCGGUGUGUCGCGUCGGUCGUGAAAACUUGGGGCUUAACCCUGAGCUUGCGGUCGAUACGGGCGGGCUGGGAUUCGGUAGGGGAGACUGGAAUUCCUGGUGUAGCGGUGAAAUGCGCAGAUAUCAGGAGGAACACCGGUGGCGAAGGCGGGUCUCUGGGCCGAUAUCGACGCUGAGGAGCGAAAGCGUGGGGAGCGAACAGG
rnacentral:rRNA from 1 species